rnacentral:rRNA from 1 species
AUAACUCCGGGAAACCGGAGCUAAUACCGGAUAGUUCCUUGAACCGCAUGGUUCAAGGAUGAAAGACGGUUUCGGCUGUCACUUACAGAUGGACCCGCGGCGCAUUAGCUAGUUGGUGAGGUAACGGCUCACCAAGGCGACGAUGCGUAGCCGACCUGAGAGGGUGAUCGGCCACACUGGGACUGAGACACGGCCCAGACUCUACGGGAGGCAGCAGUAGGGAAUCUUCCGCAAUGGACGAAAGUCUGACGGAGCAACGCCGCGUGAGUGAUGAAGGUUUUCGGAUCGUAAAGCUCUGUUGUUAGGGAAGAACAAGUGCAAGAGUAACUGCUUGCACCUUGACGGUACCUAACCAGAAAGCCACGGCUAACUACGUGCCAGCAGCCGCGGUAAUACGUAGGUGGCAAGCGUUGUCCGGAAUUAUUGGGCGUAAAGGGCUCGCAGGCGGUUUCUUAAGUCUGAUGUGAAAGCCCCCGGCUCAACCGGGGAGGGUCAUUGGAAACUGGGAAACUUGAGUGCAGAAGAGGAGAGUGGAAUUCCACGUGUAGCGGUGAAAUGCGUAGAGAUGUGGAGGAACACCAGUGGCGAAGGCGACUCUCUGGUCUGUAACUGACGCUGAGGAGCGAA